ensembl:lncRNA
AAGAGAUGAUCUGCUCACUUUAUCUGAGCUCGAGACAAGACCAAAACCAUGAAAAUAUGGUCUUAUGUGUGUUCUUAAAUAUUAGUGAGUCUGGUCUUGAAUACAUGUUAGGAAAAUAUGAGCAGUUGUGAUAGUUUGGCACAAAUUGGACAUGGCCCCUUUAAGAAAUUGCCUCUUUGCAACGCCAUUGUCUACCCCUCAUUGCGCAUGUGUGUUCUACUUUCAUAGAAACUCUUAAUUCAAUUAAACCAAUUUGAGCAUCUGCAACAGUUGUAGUUGUUAAUUUUGACGACCUAAUGUAUCUUUUGAAGGAUGGAAAUGGAUUGAGGUGAACUUCAGAACAUACUUUGAACACCUUUUUAUAUGUAUUAAACAGAAACAACGUGUGCUGAUAAUGCAAAAGGACAAUUGAUUUAUCAGUUAAAGUCAGUCCAUCGUUGAUUCAGUCAUGUCAUCGUCCAGCUCCGUUCAGUUCUCUUCAAAUAGUGUCUGUGCAGUCAAGUCAACAAUGUUGCCAGAGAUUGUGUCCCCAACUACGCAAGCCAAAUGUGAUAGUGACAAGGAACCAAGACUCCAUCAGUGACAGAAAUGGAGAAAAAAAAACCUUGGGAGAAACCAGGCUCAGUCAGUUCUCUUCUGGUCAGACGAAACCUGCAUGGUGUGGUUUAAUUGCAGGCUGCAACACAGCGCACCACAGUUCCAUCAACUGUCCCAAGUGUCUAUGCUUGCACUUCUCCUGCAGUCCCUAUUAUCAGAAACACACACACCUGCUUUCUUUGCCCCACCAACCAAUUUAGGAGAGUCCUUGAAGCUCAAGAAUGGAAAGAACUGCUCUCUUCCCCUUUCAAGGCAGCCUGACGCAUUAGUCUACUUUCAAGGCACUCAAUUUGGGGUGCCACACUAUGCCCUUCUAUCUGCAUGUUUGAUUUGCUCUCUGCUGCCUCCAGAUCUCCAAAGUGAUAUCUUACUUUUCACAUUCACUGUCACAUGUAUUAGCC